rnacentral:rRNA from 1 species
GUGAAAUUGAACUCGCUGUGAAGAUGCAGUGUACCCGCGGCAAGACGGAAAGACCCCGUGAACCUUUACUAUAGCUUGACACUGAACAUUGAGCCUUGAUGUGUAGGAUAGGUGGGAGGCUUUGAAGCGUGGACGCCAGUCUGCGUGGAGCCGACCUUGAAAUACCACCCUUUAAUGUUUGAUGUUCUAACGUGGACCCGUAAUCCGGGUUGCGGACAGUGUCUGGUGGGUAGUUUGACUGGGGCGGUCUCCUCCUAAAGAGUAACGGAGGAGCACGAAGGUUGGCUAAUCCUGGUCGGACAUCAGGAGGUUAGUGCAAUGGCAUAAGCCAGCUUGACUGCGAGCGUGACGGCGCGAGCAGGUGCGAAAGCAGGUCAUAGUGAUCCGGUGGUUCUGAAUGGAAGGGCCAUCGCUCAACGGAUAAAAGGUACUCCGGGGAUAACAGGCUGAUACCGCCCAAGAGUUCAUAUCGACGGCGGUGUUUGGCACCUCGAUGUCGGCUCAUCACAUCCUGGGGCUGAAGUAGGUCCCAAGGGUAUGGCUGUUCGCCAUUUAAAGUGGUACGCGAGCUGGGUUUAGAACGUCGUGAGACAGUUCGGUCCCUAUCUGCCGUGGGCGCUGGAGAACUGAGGGGGGCUGCUCCUAGUACGAGAGGACCGGAGUGGACGCAUCACUGGUGUUCGGGUUGUCAUGCCAAUGGCACUGCCCGGUAGCUAAAUGCGGAAGAGAUAAGUGCUGAAAGCAUCUAAGCACGAAACUUGCCCCGA